GGGCGCUUAGCUCAGUUGGUAGAGCAUCGCCCUUACAAGGCGAGGGUCAGUGGUUCAAGUCCACUAGCGCCCACCA
rnacentral:tRNA from 1 species